rnacentral:rRNA from 1 species
UGGGGAAUCUUGCGCAAUGGGGGGAACCCUGACGCAGCGACGCCGCGUGCGGGACGGAGGCCUUCGGGUCGUAAACCGCUUUCAGCAGGGAAGAGUCAAGACUGUACCUGCAGAAGAAGCCCCGGCUAACUACGUGCCAGCAGCCGCGGUAAUACGUAGGGGGCGAGCGUUAUCCGGAUUCAUUGGGCGUAAAGCGCGCGUAGGCGGCCCGGCAGGCCGGGGGUCGAAGCGGGGGGCUCAACCCCCCGAAGCCCCCGGAACCUCCGCGGCUUGGGUCCGGUAGGGGAGGGUGGAACACCCGGUGUAGCGGUGGAAUGUGCAGAUAUCGGGUGGAACACCGGUGGCGAAGGCGGCCCUCUGGGCCGAGACCGACGCUGAGGCGCGAAAGCUGGGGGAGCGAACAGG